UGUGGUGUCCCGGCUCCCCACUAGAAGUCGGCACCAAGUUCACAUUUCACACCCUUGAGCUCAAGGUUUUCAUCACUCCAACUCUGCCCCAAGAGCCCUUGUUUCAUGUCUGCCUCAUGGCCCACUGCUGCCCAAGCCCAUCUCUCAUCAACCCCAUUGUCUCCUUGCCACCUACCAACCACAAGUUUAAGAGCACAAGAAACACUGUAAGGACACACAAGAAGAGCUUCAGCACCAGAGGGGCAAGGAUGAAGAACAACAGUGGCAAACAGACAAGAUUUUGGGCUCUGGGAGGCAGGCUCUUCUGUUCUGCUAUGAGAGUCCAGAACUAGAAGGUUGAACGGCUUAAUAAUGGUGCACCCCUUACUCACUCGAGCCUGGAAAGAAAGUUGUUCCCCAAAUGAAGUGUUACAGAAGAGUUCAGAUCUAUCAUAAGCCACAUAACACAGAAGAUCAAAAGAAAAAAGGCCUGUGGAUGCUGCUUGAUUCGCUCGUCUGUGCGGAAGUGGAAGUCAACUGAUUUGGUUACCUGGCUCACUGAUUUCUUCACAGGUU